rnacentral:rRNA from 1 species
GUGGGGAAUCUUAGACAAUGGGCGCAAGCCUGAUCUAGCCAUGCCGCGUGAGCGAUGAAGGCCUUAGGGUUGUAAAGCUCUUUCGUGGGGGAAGAUAAUGACUGUACCCCAAGAAGAAGCCCCGGCUAACUCCGUGCCAGCAGCCGCGGUAAUACGGAGGGGGCUAGCGUUGUUCGGAAUUACUGGGCGUAAAGCGCACGUAGGCGGACGGGAAAGUCAGGGGUGAAAUCCCGGGGCUCAACCCCGGAACUGCCUUUGAAACUCCCAGUCUUGAGUUAGAGAGAGGUGAGUGGAAUUCCGAGUGUAGAGGUGAAAUUCGUAGAUAUUCGGAGGAACACCAGUGGCGAAGGCGGCUCACUGGCUCGAUACUGACGCUGAGGUGCGAAAGCGUGGGGAGCAAACAGGAUUAGAAACCCUGGUAGUCC